CACCAAAGCAGUUUGGUGAAUCAUACCACAGCUGGUUUUUAUUAUGACAGGCUUUUUCCGUGGGAACAAAGAUAUGGAGUCACUUUUCAGAGUCUUAUAUAUGGACAGCUCUUUCUACAUAUCAUCACAUCAAUCUUGAGAAUUAAAUUAAAUCUGCUUUAGUAAUUCAUAUAGAAAUUACAUUUACCAACUUUUUUCUCUGUUCUUAGUUUAUCCCUUCAGGACCUAGUGCUUCCAAGCGGUAAAUCAGCAUGAGAUAAAUGCUGAGUUCCUACAAAGCAGUGUGACAAGCACAAUGUAAGCCCAUCUUAGGUGAAAUGCAAUGGUACCAUUCAGUGCAAACUCUCUGAUUCCCAGUCCCCACACUUUUCCUGUUAUUCUGAUGAAAAGCCUAAAUACAUCUCCUUUCAACAAUUGACUGUAAUCACAUUUUACCUGCCUUUUCUGAAGGGCAUUGAGCCAGGCUGUUAAAAGGCAAACAAAGAGAAACAAGCAUCUUGCAGAGCAUGCCUGGCUCUUGUCUUGGGUAUGGAACAGGCUCCAGGUCAGACACAGUGAGUCACAGACAAAGAUGUGCACCUAACAAAGGAGGCCCUGAAGCAAUGUGGUACUCCCACGGUGAAAGGAAAUUUUUUGUUGUCAUACAUUGCUUAUCAGAAGGUUUCCAUGGCUGCUGA
rnacentral:lncRNA from 1 species